GACGGAGGGCGCAAGCGUUGUUCGGAAUUACUGGGCGUAAAGCGCGCGUAGGCGGCUCGGAAAGUCGGUCGUGAAAUGCCGGGGCUCAACCCCGGGACUGCGUCCGAUACUCCCGAGCUGGAGGCAGGUAGGGGAGAUCGGAAUUCCUGGUGUAGCGGUGAAAUUCGUAGAUAUCGGGAGGAACACCAGUGGCGAAGGCGGCGACCUGGGCCAAUACUGACGCUGAGGUGCGAAAGCGUGGGGAGCAAACAGG
rnacentral:rRNA from 1 species